rnacentral:sRNA from 1 species
GUGAGAGGUUCCAGACUGAUGGCCCUAUAGAUUGAGCAGGCAUAGACAGUGCAAGCUUUCUCACACUGCCCUGCCAACAUGCUUCUGCCCUGACCUGGAGUUAUCAGGUUCCCUGCCUACUCAGUCUUUGGUCUUG